GCACCGUGGUGUAUGGUACACACGCUGACAAGAUUACAAGAUAAUUCUUUAUCAGUUAUUACAACGGCGAGCUGGGGUUCGAUUCCCCGUCGGUGCG